rnacentral:rRNA from 1 species
GCGGUGCGUACGAGCAGACUAGAGUGAUGUAGGGAAGACUGAAUUCCUGGUGUAGCGGGAAAUGCGCAGAUAUCAGGAGGAAACCGAUGCCGAAGGCAGGUCUCUGAGCAUUAACUGACGCUGAGGAGCGAAAGCAUGGCGAGCGAACAGGAUUAGAUACCCUGGUAGUCCAUGCCGUAAACGUUGGGCACUAGGUGUGGGGGACAUUCCACGUUUUCCGCGCCGUAGCUAACGCACUAAGUGCCCCGCCUGGGGAGUACGGCCGCAAGGCUAAAACUCAAAGGAAUUGACGGGGGCCCGCACAAGCGGCGGAGCAUGCGGAUUAAUUCGAUGCAACGCGAAGAACCUUACCAAGGCUUGACACGGGCCGGAUCGCCGCAGAAAUGUGGUUUCCCCUUUGGGGCCGGUUCACAGGUGGUGCAUGGUCGUCGUCAGCUCGUGUCGUGAGAUGUUGGGUUAAGUCCCGCAACGAGCGCAACCCUCGUUCUAUGUUGCCAGCGCGUGAUGGCGGGGACUCAUAGGAGACUGCCGGGGUCAACUCGGAGGAAGGUGGGGACGACGUCAAAUCAUCAUGCCCCUUAUGUCUUGGGCUUCACGCAUGCUACAAUGGCCGGUACAAAGGGUUGCGAUACUGUGAGGUGGAGCUAAUCCCAAAAAGCCGGUCUCAGUUCGGAUUGGGGUCUGCAACUCGACCCCAUGAAGUCGGAGUCGCUAGUAAUCGCAGAUCAGCAACGCUGCGGUGAAUACGUUCCCGGGCCUUGUACACACCGCCCGUCAAGUCACGAAAGUUGGUAACACCC